rnacentral:rRNA from 1 species
UGGGGAAUAUUGCACAAUGGAGGGAACUCUGAUGCAGCGACGCCGCGUGAGUGAUGAAGGAAUUCGUUUCGUAAAACUCUUUUCUAUGGGAAGAAAAGGACUGUACCAUAGGAGAAAGCUCCGGCUAAAUACGUGCCAGCAGUCGCGGUAAUACGUAUGGAGCGAGCGUUGUCCGGAAUUAUUGGGCGUAAAGGGUGCGCAGGCGGCUUUACAAGUUGGAUGUGAAAUAUUGUGGCUCAACCACAAACGUGCAUCCAAAACUGCAAAGCUUGAGUUAAGGGGAGGUAAGUGGAAUUCCUGGUGUAGCGGUGGAAUGCGUAGAUAUCAGGAGAAAUACCGGUGGCGAAGGCGACUUACGGGACUUAAACUGACGCUCAGGCACGAAAGCGUGGGGAGCAAACAGG